UGGCUAGUGAUGGAUUGUGGGAGUUGCAAUACAAAGCUACCUGCUCACUGCAUGGGUGAAAGUUUGCACUGCCUUGCUGGAUCAGGCAAGGUUCCACUUAGGUUAGCAGCCACUGAUUAUCCAUCAUGAAUUUUGGCUCACGUGGUUCUGGGAACCUCAGAGAAUAACUGCUUGUUCAAGUAGGAAUCCAGUACCUGUAUGUAUGCUCCAUGAGGUGCCUCUUGCAUUAGGAAGGCAUUGAAUUUGCAGGAUGAGUGUUCUCCUCGCAUUCCCCAGUCAUAGUCACAUGCCAUCCUUAGGCACCCUUCUCCCUGUUUCUUUCUAGAAGCCUCGCCUGGUCCGCUCCCGGUCCUGCUGCCCCAGCGAGAUUGCAAGCAUCUUGGACAAUGACCACAGGGAGCUGAUUGGUGAUUUCUCAAAGGCAUAUCUGCUGCAGACAGUGGAAGGGAAGCAUCAGGAUCUCAAGUAUAUCUCUCCUGAAAUGAUGGUGGCUGUGCUGACUGGUCAGUUCAGCAGCCUCAUUGAAAGCUGUGUGAUCGUGGAUUGCAGAUAUCCCUACGAAUAUGAAGGAGGUCACAUCAAGGUUGGUUCUGUUCUUGUAACACUUCCUAAUGCUGAGGCAUAACCAAAGGCCCUUAUGAGAGAGACACUGGACUUAUUUUCCCACCUGUACCUCAAAGAACUUCACUAACUUUGGCUCAGUUACUGACCACAAUUCAGUGGCCUGGUGCUUGCUUUUACAGGGAGAGUACACCUGGCACUUACUUUGCUGUUUUUGUAAUGCUUGGUGAACAUGGUAUCAAGUAAAUGCUGCCUUUUCUUUUCUUUUUAAUGCUGAGCGGAAAUGAGCCCUGUGAAUCAGUUGCCUAGUUCAGAGCUGGCAAGGUUUUGGGUCUGUUUUGAUCACAUGCCCCCCUCCCCAAAUAUAGGAGAAAAUCUGGUGAUUGGAGACAUUCAGAGUUAAUGCAGUUGGCUGUUGAUAUGAGGCACAGCAGCAGUAGCUUCCUUUAAAAAAUAUACUGCAAGUGCUUUGGCAGGUAGCACUCUGACUGACACUAUUUCCUUCCCACAAGACAUGAGUGGAGAAUAAGGGGAGACAUUUCCUCUAGUUGUUCUGAUGUGCCGACAGAAAAUAAAUGAUAAAAAAAAUUGAGCCCAGAAAUGGGUUUGGGGGAAGCAUCUCCACCUCCCCCCCCCCCC